rnacentral:rRNA from 1 species
AUGAAUCUUUUAGCCUGGAACUGUCGAGAAUUGGGGUUGGACUCGACGGUAGGCGAACUUAGAGACCUGAUACGGUCCUACAACCCAGCGGUGGUGUUUUUAUGUGAAACAAAAAAGAAGGAUAGUGCAAUGGAGAGGCUCAAGUGGAGACUAGGGUUUCGGAGUGGGGUUUCUGUUGAUUGUCAGGGUUUAAGUGGUGGACUUGCACUGUGGUGGAGGGAGAAUAUU